rfam:Firmicutes bacterium CAG:129 genomic scaffold, scf1
GGCAGAGUAGGAAGUCAUGUGUUUGCGCCCAACGGGCGCGCAGUGCCGUCGGGACGGGAAGUUGCCCGGCGGACGAAAAACCCUGGUUUGCAGUAUGGCUUUCGCAUUCCGCUCGCC